CGCGGCCUAUCAGCUUGUUGGUGAGGUAACGGCUCACCAAGGCAUCGACGGGUAGCUGGUCUGAGAGGACGAUCAGCCACACUGGGACUGAGACACGGCCCAGACUCCGACGGGAGGCAGCAGUAGGGAAUCUUGCGCAAUGGGCGAAAGCCUGACGCAGCAACGCCGCGUGGGGGAUGAAUGCCUUCGGGUUGUAAACCCCUUUCAGCAGGGACGAAAAUGACGGUACCUGCAGAAGAAGCUCCGGCCAACUACGUGCCAGCAGCCGCGGUAAUACGUAGGGGGCGAGCGUUGUCCGGAAUUAUUGGGCGUAAAGAGCUCGUAGGCGGUUCAGUAAGUCGGGUGUGAAAACUCAAGGCUCAACCUUGAGACGCCACUCGAUACUGCUGUGACUUGAGUCCGGUAGAGGAGUGUGGAAUUCCUGGUGUAGCGGUGAAAUGCGCAGAUAUCAGGAGGAACACCAGCGGCGAAGGCGGCACUCUGGGCCGGUACUGACGCUGAGGAGCGAAAGCAUGGGGAGCAAACAGGAUUAGAUACCCUGGUAGUCCAUGCCGUAAACGUUGGGCACUAGGUAUGGGUCCCAUCCAACGGGAUCCGCGCCGCAGCUAACGCAUUAAGUGCCCCGCCUGGGGAGUACGG
rnacentral:rRNA from 1 species